rnacentral:tRNA from 1 species
GCGCCUGUAGCUCACUUGGAUAGAGCAACUGCCUUCUAAGCAGUGGGUAGCAGGUUCGAUUCCUGCCAGGCGCA